rnacentral:misc_RNA from 1 species
UGUUGUGGGCCCAGUGGCAGGUGAUC